rnacentral:rRNA from 1 species
UACGAAGGGAGCUAGCGUUGUUCGGAAUCACUGGGCGUAAAGCGCACGUAGGCGGACGUGUCAGUCAGGGGUGAAAUCCCGGAGCUCAACUUCGGAACUGCCUUUGAUACAGCACGUCUUGAGUCCGGAAGAGGUGGGUGGAAUUCCUAGUGUAGAGGUGAAAUUCGUAGAUAUUAGGAAGAACACCAGUGGCGAAGGCGGCCAACUGGUCCGACACUGACGCUGAGGUGCGAAAGCGUGGGGAGCAAACAGG